rnacentral:rRNA from 1 species
CUACAAAUGAAUUGACGGGGCCCGCACAAGCGGAGGAACAUGUGGUUAAUUCGAUGAUACGCGAGGAACCUUACCUGGGCUUAAAUGUAGACUGCAUAGCGUGGAAACAUUGCUUUUCCUUCGGGACUGUUUACAAGGUGCUGCAUGGUUGUCGUCAGCUCGUGCCGUGAGGUGUCGGGUUAAGUCCCAUAACGAGCGCAACCCUUAUCGUUAGUUGCCAGCGGGUAAUGCCGGGGACUCUAGCGAAACUGCCGGUGUAAACCGAGAGGAAGGUGGGAUGACGUCAAAUCAGCACGGCCCUUAUGUCCAGGGCUACACACGUGUUACAAUGGCCGGUACAGAGGGCAGCUACUUGGUGACAAGAUGCAAAUCUCGAAAGCCGGUCUCAGUUCGGAUCGGAGUCUGCAACUCGACUCCGUGAAGCUGGAUUCGCUAGUAAUCGCGCAUCAGCCAUGGCCGCGGUCCGAAUACGUUCCGGGCCUU